rnacentral:SRP_RNA from 1 species
UCUGGGCGUGGUGGUGUGUGCCUGUAGUCCUAGCUACUCGGGAGGCUGAGGUGUGAUGAUCACUUGAGCCCAGGAGUUCUGGGCUGUAGUGCGCUAUGCCGAUCGGGUGUCUGUACUAAGUUUGGCAUCAAUAUGGUGACCUCCCAGGAGUGGGGGACCACCAGGUUGCCUAAGGAGGGGUGAACCGGCCCAGGUCAGAAAUGGAGCAGGUCAAAACUCCCGUGCUGAUCAGUUGUGAGAUUGCACCUGUGAAUAGCCACUGUGCUCCAGCCUGGGCAACACAGCGAGACCCCGUCGCU